CCUAAUCUUUCCGAUCACCCCUUUUUCUCUCUCUAUAUAUACAAACACAAUGUUCUCUAACCCUAGCUCCAGCAGCAUCAGCAUCAUCGAAAGCCUUCUAGGGUUAUUCUCUCUAUCAGUCGCUAUUCCGUCUUGUCUUGUGUUUUCCUUUCACCCUCUGCAUAUCUAAGUAUUUCAGCAUUUUUUUUUGUUUGAUCUUUUCAAUUCAAUUAUAUUUAGUUGCUAUGUGCCUAUGAUGGUGUUAAAUAUACUCCGAGAUUUAUUUCUAUGACCUCAACUUCGUUCUGAGGCACUAGCUUUAUCUUCCUUAUUUUCGAUUAGAAGCGCAUGAAAGUGCUGUAAGGGUUUCGCUAUACUAUUUUUGUAGCGCUCAAUUUUAUUUUAUUUUGAGUUAUUUCAUGAUCGAAUUGUAACUGCAAUGUCAUGGCUCUAAUUUGCUGAAUGCACCCGUGCAACAUAUGCUUAGUCUUAAGUUUUGUUCUGCCAUUUUGUUUUAACCUUCAAAAUCCACACUUGUAUCUCGUAAAAGCAAUAUUUAUGCGCAGAUGAUGACAACAUAGACAGGGACAUCAGCACUCUAUAGGAGAAUGGUGACUACGUCUAAUGGGAAUCUCUCUGAUGCGCUCAUGAAAUUUCUUUUUUAUUUGGAAUACAUUGUGAAACAAAAACCAAAGUUUACAAGCCUGAUGAUUGUCACCAAGAACGGAGAUUUGAAGAUUCUUUUGUUGAAGCCUGACCAUCAUUGGGCUCCAAAAGCAUCUAAUGUAAUAAAUCGUUCUAUAUUGGUAUAAAUUAAUGAAGGCUCUUAUUGUGAUUGCAAAUGCAAGCAUGCCUUGAAAGAAUACACUGAUGGACAUAGGUGCAUAUGCAUGUUAUUUGGAAUGUAAUUUGAGAUUGAAAACCGGGGAAUCGGUCAGGAGGUGGUAAUGGUUCAAAUAAAGCAUGGAACUAACCUUUAAUUCUAAUAAAUCAUAGAUUGGCUUUGAUAAAAAAAA